GAAAGCAUACAUGGGAGUGAUGUGAGGUCUCCACGUCUCUCUCUCUCUCNNNNNNNNNNNNNNNNNNNNUCUCUCUCUCUCUCUCUCUCUCUCUCUCUCUCUCUCUCUCUCUCUCUACUUCCUCUCUUCCUCCUCCUGUUGUUUAUGAUCUGUAUUGAGAUCCGGUUAGAUAGAUAUUAGGAUUUAGGUGUUAGUUUGGCUUGGAUUUUACCCAACUUGCAGUUAGAUUGAGUCGGAUUAGGUACGGUAAGUAUAUCAAGUCAGGUCGGGUUUCAAGUCAGGACAGGAUGAUUGACAAGCCUAUAGUGAGCCAACUUCCUCUUGAGAUUGAAACUCUUAUUUUCCAAUCCUUGAAGACUCUUAUUUUUCUAUUUAUUUACUACAACAUCCAGUAUUUCUCUAUUGGGAACUAGAGGUGCUAGAAACAUGUGAGAACAUGGUCCAUUUGAUAAAAACUAUUACGUGUCACAUUAUUGUUGUUCGAUUAUAUAUUAUUUUUUUAUGAUUGUUUCAAUUAUAUCAUGUAGUUUGAGAUGUUGAGUGAGUAUGAAGUGAGCUAGAGAAGACUUGGGGCCUCAAGUCAAAUACCAAAGCAAAAUCCACGCUGAAGGGAAGGAAUAAGUUAUUUUUACACUUUCUAAGUAAAUGAGCGGCUAUUCUUUUUGAAGUAAUUACAUGUAAUUGGUAAUGAUGCCCUCCUAUAUAUAUUGCAAUAUAAUCCUGCCAUAUUCUCUUCAUAUCUCAAACAUUAGGUUGAGAUUGCAGAAAGCUAAAAUGAUAAAUGAGAACAAUCUGUCGGUGGACUAGUGUCGGUGGGCUUAUAUCUGUUUUUUUUGCAAAGCUCUCACGCGGUUCUUCUCUUUAUUUUAUUCGAGUUUGCUUGACUCACAGCUCUUCAGUCACCUUCCAGGUUGUCCCCACGCUCAGCUAAAAAGAUUCGUGGCAGAAAAGAACGCAACAACGACUUCUCAUUUAAUGGAUCACCAGCAAGCGACUUUGUAGAUUCAUCUGAAUUACCCGAUGAUAGAACUUGCAAGGAUACCCGGGUGUUGCUUGCUAAAUUAGCUUCUGAUGAGGAUCGACAAGAAAGGAUGCUUUCUCUUUUCUCGGAAAUAAGGAAAGAGUUCCCUUGAGUGGCAUCAACCAGACCGCAAAUAAGAAAGUCCCCUUGCAAUCAGAUUGUACUAACAAAGAUAGCUUUAGAUGUACCGCAUCAUUUGAGGACGUAUUAUAAUUGAAAUCUCUACUUGCCAGACAAUUUGUAGGAGCGCUUCGUCCCAAAAGUUUUAACAUGAAAAAAAAGUCAUGGGAGACCGAACGGAGUUAUCAAAGUGCGGUAAUGCCUUGUGACAUCCUAAACAUGGCCCGAUCCACUUAACCGGCCUGACUCGAAUGCUGGUCUAUAUGUAUCCAUGCGGGCUUCGCACAUGAUCGGAGAUAGCAACUCCUAAUAGGAGUCUGCAUUCCAUCUGAAACCUGCGACUUCGAGAAGAAAUUGGAGACCUAGGGCCCCUUCACAACCCUUCGCCAUCGAGCACGGCCCUNNNNNNNNNNNNNNNNNNNNNNNNNNNNNNNNNNNNNNNNNNNNNNNNNNNNNNNNNNNNNNNNNNNNNNNNNNNNNNNNNNNNNNNNNNNNNNNNNNNNNNNNNNNNNNNNNAUAAAAUUAAUUAAUUAACAUUGUAUUUGUGUUUGAGUGCAAGGAAUCCAGGAGACCCAAUAACAUUGGGUUUGAGCCCAAUGCCCGGCAGCUCGAGCUCAACAAAUUCUCCAUCUGCCAUGCAAGCAUAAAAUCCCGCGCUGUCCAUCAGAAAACCUUCCAAAUCAGUCCCGCAUCAAGGCCCCGCGAACAUUUCCUUCUCAGCCUCCCAGCCUCCCGCAGUGCAUCACAGCCGUCCGCGUCUCCUCCCUUCCGUCUCUUCCGUGCGUUGCCUCCCAUCGAUCACGGCAGAUCAGCUCCUCUCAGUAGCCCAACAGUCCGUCAGCAUUCAUCCUCCUAGCGGUCGCGUCCGGCUCCACCCUCUUCCCGGAUCCACGGCAUCUUCCAUUUCGGCUCAUCCCAGUCAUCCCGCGCGUCUCCUUCCUUCCCGUAAUCCCAUUCUUCAAGCGAUGAACAUCCACGGAUCAAGCUCCCUUCCGAUUUCAAGCCGUGAUCCAAGCUUCCACCGAUUGCCGUGAUCGGCUCCUCCCACCAGCCCGCCUCUCAACCAUGGUCCAAAGAAGGAAUCCCGAGUCAGCUCCCAGCAUCCCACGCCCGCUCCAUCGGUCACGGCUGACCCCAGCAUCCGCGCCGUCCACGGAUCACGCCAAAAUCGCUCCUCCUCCGCCUCAGCCCGCGCCUCCUUCCUUCCGCACCGCGUCCAGCCGUGCAACCAUUCCGGCUUCUUCCGCUCCUCCCAACGGUUCACAGCAGCGUAGAGUCUUCCGCCCGAGCACCAACGAUCAUCGACCCCAUCCUUUCGCAUCCAAGGAAUCCCACUGCCAGCAGCCGGUAAUCCAGCUCCUUCUUCUUUCGGAAACUCCUACACCUGGACUACAAGCGUGAUCCAAGCCGUCCGUGAUCAAAGCAACGCAGCCAUCUUCCUUCCCGAAUCAUCAUCCACACAUCCACCUCCCGAGAUCCCGCGCCCGUUUCUCCUCCAUUCCUUGCUGUGGCGGCCUAUAAGAGGAGGAGGAGAGGAGAGUGAGGGAGGGGGUGGUGGCCGGCGGGUCCAAAGAAAAGAGAAGGGUGGAGGCCAUCGGUUUGGAGGAAGGAAAACGGGAGAGGAGAAGUCGUGCUCUGUUUUCAAACAGAGCACGUUGCUUGUUCUCCUUCUUCUUUUUAUUUUAUUUUAUUAUUAUUAUUUUUUGUUUUAGUUUAAUUAAGAACAGUGUUGUUUUUAAUUUUAAUUAAUGGUCUUAUUUGUAGCUCUUUCUGUUGCAAUUUUACUGGAGAGUUUUAUUUUAAGAGCUUUAGAUUUGCAAUCUUAAUUUAUGUUUUUCACAUUCUCUAAUUUUUCUUUUAAGGCAAUAUAUUUAAAUUUCUU
rnacentral:lncRNA from 1 species